CCUACGGGAGGCAGCAGUGAGGAAUAUUGGUCAAUGGGCGCAAGCCUGAACCAGCCAUCCCGCGUGAAGGAAGAAGGCGCUAUGCGUUGUAAACUUCUUUUCCAGGGGAAUAAAAUUUUGUACGCGUACGGAAUUGAAGGUACCCUGGGAAUAAGCAUCGGCUAACUCCGUGCCAGCAGCCGCGGUAAU
rnacentral:rRNA from 1 species